rnacentral:misc_RNA from 1 species
UCGAGUUACCGCUCCUUAUAACCCUUUGUGAACAUACCCCAAACGUUGCCUCGGCGGGCAGCCGGAGCCCAGCUCCGUCGCCCGGAGCCGCCGUCUCGGCGCGCCCCACCCGCCGGCGGACCACCAAAUUCUAUUUAAACGACGUCUCUUCUGAGUGGCACAAGCAAAUAAUCA